rnacentral:antisense_RNA from 1 species
CGUUGUACAGGUUAAAGAUUCGAGAUAGAACGUUUCAGACUUUAGCGUGGAAUGAAACGAUCGGGGCAUUAUCAGCGG